UCCAGAAAAAGUUUCUCCGCGAGAGUUAGAGCCACUAGUUGCAAUUACUACCACAAAUUUUCUCCCUGACCAAGGGAAGAAGCCGGCACGAUCAUCUCCUUCGCACUCAUCUGCACUAUACCAUGGUAUGCGUUAGCUUUCCUAUCAGUGUUUCUUCAAUCCUGAUUUGCUUUGAUUGUUAUUUAUAAACUUUUCCUCAUCUUAAUUUGUGCCGUAAAUAUGUUGAAAUUCCCUGAUGAGUCUCCUAUUAUGACCUCUAUUCAUCAUCCAGUUCCUCUGCUACUUCUAAAAGCAAUUCUCUUGAUUUCAGUGGCUUUGUUUCACAAGCUAGCAUUUCCCCCAACCGAUUGGGAAAUGUGAUGUUGUCUUCCGCUUCUGCUAUUGAAGAAGAACCUGGAAAACUGAGAGAUGGUUGCUCAGAACCAAUAUUCUUCAAAUCUGAAUUUAGUUCAAGUAUACAGAGAGAUAAGAGGAACAAAGAAGGUGAAAGAGGAGAUUUGUGAGUUGUAACUGGGAAACUUGUUACACGAGGUAAGAG
rnacentral:misc_RNA from 1 species